rnacentral:lncRNA from 1 species
AAUCAAUCUACUAAUUAGAAGUAUCCACCUAAUUAACAACCUAAAGAUAUGACUAAAGUCAUAAUUAACUAAAAAAACUAAUUUGAAUCUAUUAAUUAAUUAUAUUAGCAUUAAAAUUAGUAAAAAUAUGUUAAAAAUUACAAAAAGAAUUGUAACUAAUCAUUGGAACUUUCAAUUAUGCUCACAUUGAAGCAUCAAUAUCCAAGUACAUUAUAGCUAAGUGAAGUUGCUUCAAGAAUUGAUCCACAAAGAUAGAAAUUGUAAUAUGAUUAUGAGGCAUCUAUGGCAAAUAUGUAAUGAGGUCUUUAGUCACCUACUUUCAACAUGCCAUAGAU